rnacentral:rRNA from 1 species
UACGUAGGGUGCAAGGCGUUAAUCGGAAUUUACCUAGGGCGUUGAAACGUGACGCAGGCGGGUUAUUGUAAGACAGAUGUGAAAUGCCCGGGCUUAACCUGGGAACUGCAUUUGUGGACUGCAUGGCUAGAGUUUGGCAGGAGGGGGUAGAAUUCCACGUGUAGCAGUGAAAUGCGUAGAUAUGUGGAGGAACACCGAUGGCGAAGGCAGCCCCUGGGUCAAGACUGGACGCUCAUGCACGAAGCGUGGGAGCAACAAGGAUAGAGG